AACGAACGCUGGCGGCAGGCUUAACACAUGCAAGUCGAACGCCCCGCAAGGGGAGUGGCGCACGGGUGAGUAACGCGUGGAUAUCUGCCUUUUGGUUCGGAAUAACCCCGGGAAACUGGGGCUAAUACCGGAUGGUUCCUACGGGAUAAAGAUUUAUCGCCAAAAGAUGAGUCCGCGUACGAUUAGCUAGUUGGUGAGGUAAUGGCUCACCAAGGCGACGAUCGUUAGCUGGUCUGAAAGGACGAUCAGCCACACUGGGACUGAGACACGGCCCAGACUCCUACGGGAGGCAGCAGUGGGGAAUAUUGGACAAUGGGGGCAACCCUGAUCAGCCAUGCCGCGUGAGUGAUGAAGGCCUUCGGGUUGUAAAGCUCUUUUGGCGGGGACGAUGAUGACGGUACCCGCAGAAUAAGCCCCGGCUAACUUCGUGCCAGCAGCCGCAGUAA
rnacentral:rRNA from 1 species